rnacentral:sRNA from 1 species
UAUGUGGAGGUAGCGAUCCUCGCCAAGCCCUGAUAUUGCCUAACUAGGUAGGAAUGGAGGGAAACCCGCGAAUGCUUACAAAGUAAUAAUUUAUUGGUUAUGACAAUGUAAUGAGCAAUGACAGUUAAUAAGAUCAAAAGAGUGAUGAUAAUACAAUGAAUGAGAGGGUGACAUUUAAUGUCCUUGAGAUGCUCCGGAAUUUUCUUUGUCCUUGGUCGAAGAACACGACGACUUGGCGUUCCCAUUCUUGGUUCUUCAGGCGGUUUGUUUGGUGGCUCGUUCUCUUCCAGCCUAGGAAAAAUUAUAGGUGCUUUAGGAGCUUUAGACAUGUGAUAAUAUACAAAUUCAUAAUCAGUAGACGAAGUUGGCCUAUAAGUCUCUUGAAUACAUAUCCAUUUUCAAGUUCGACCAUAUAAAGAAGACGACCCAGAUUUGAAUGACUUUCCCAAGUUUCCAUAAUUGUCCGUUAGCUGUGUAAUAACGAGCCUGAACCAUUUCUCCCACACUUAAUUGCCUAGUGUGGACAUUCUCCUCCCAGGAUGGAUGGGUGCUUUGCAAGCAAGCCCUCAUGAAAUGUUCAAUAUCUUAUCAGAAUCUAAAUUUUGUAAAUCAUGAAGAAUUUUUUAAAGUUUAAUAUCUUUAGGGUUUCCUCCUGGAUGGAUUUAAAAUUCAAGCUUAAUGAGUUUACUUGAUUAAUAGUUGAACAGCGUAUGAGAUGUACCUCAAUAUCCAUA